rnacentral:rRNA from 1 species
GCCGCGGUAAAACCAGCACCUCAAGUGGUCAGGAGGAUUAUUGGGCCUAAAGCAUCCGUAGCCGGCUCUGUAAGUUUUCGGUUAAAUUCAUGUGCUCAACGCAUGAGCCGCCGAAAAUACUGCAUAGCUAGGGAGUGGGAGAGGUAGACGGUACUCAGUAGGAAGGGGUAAAAUCCUUUGAUCUAUUGAUGACCACCUGUGGCGAAGGCGGUCUACCAGAACACGUUCGACGGUGAGGGAUGAAAGCUGGGGGAGCAAACCGGAUUAGAUACCCGGGUAGUCCCAGCUGUAAACGAUGCAGACUCGAUGAUGCAUUGGCAUAUAGCCAGUGCAGUGUCGCAGGGAAGCCGUUAAGUCUGCCGCCUGGGAAGUACGUACGCAAGUAUAAACUUAAAGGAAUUGGCGGGGGAAGUUGAAUCCCAGG